UCCCCGUCGGCCGCGAGGACCUCCAGUGCCCGCCGUUGCUCCUCGCUGUAGUAGUAUCGCGGAUUAUGUUCACUGAUCCGUUCGUUCACGUUGAAAGUUGCUCUGGUUGUCAGAGAAAUAAGAAAGAAUACUGGGAGAUAAUUUCCUCUUUUUUUUGUAGAGAAGCUACAACAUAAAGAGAACCAGUGUGUGGCUUAGCCAUGACUUCAGGAUAUAGAGUUCUGUGGCCUACCUUGUUUCAACUGCUUUGUUCCCCUGAGUUUGUAGAAAUAAGGACAUUUGCCACAAGAACAAAAAUGAACUACUUGUGCCUUUUAAAAACAGAGUGUGUUAAACAUUUUGUCUGAAAUAUCUGAAAUAAAUGGAAAAAAAUAA